rnacentral:tRNA from 1 species
GGUGGCUCAGUGGUAGAGUGCUUGCCUUACAUGCAUGAAGCCCUGAGUUUGAUUCCUCAGCACCA